AGCUCCAAUAGCGUAUAUUAAAGUUGUUGCAGUUAAAAAGCUCGUAGUUGGAUUUGUGGCCGUCGCGUGCGGCGUGACACUUAGUGUUAUCGCUUGCUUGCGUCGCCAUCCUUGGGUGGAACCUGUGUGGCAUUAGGUUGUCGUGCAGGGGAUGCCCAUCAUUUACUGUGAAAAAAUUAGAGUGUUCAAAGCAGGCUUAUGCCGUUGAAUAUAUUAGCAUGGAAUAAUAAGAUAGGACCUUGGUACUAUUUUGUUGGUUUGCGCACCGAGGUAAUGAUUAAUAGGGACAGUUGGGGGUAUUCGUAUUCCAUUGUCAGAGGUGAAAUUCUUGGAUUUUUGGAAGACGAACUACUGCGAAAGCAUUUACCAAGGAUGUUUUCAUUAAUCAAGAACGAAAGUA
rnacentral:rRNA from 1 species